UACGUAGGGUGCAAGCGUUGUUCGGAAUCACUGGGCGUAAAGGGAGCGUAGGCGGAAAUGUAAGUUAGGAGUUAAAUACAUAGGCUUAACCUGUGGUCUGCUUUUAAUACUGCAUUUCUUGAGUAUGGGAGAGGGCGAUGGAAUUCCAGGUGUAGCGGUGGAAUGCGUAGAUAUCUGGAAGAACACCAGUUGCGAAGGCGGUCGCCUGGCCCAAUACUGACGCGGAGGCUCGAAAGCUAGGGGAGCGAACAGG
rnacentral:rRNA from 1 species